rnacentral:rRNA from 1 species
AUUGAACGCUGGCGGCAUGCCUUACACAUGCAAGUCGAACGGCAGCACGGGGCAACCUGGUGGCGAGUGGCGAACGGGUGAGUAAUGCAUCGGAACGUACCUUUCAGUGGGGGAUAACGUAGCGAAAGUUACGCUAAUACCGCAUAUUCUGUGAGUAGGAAAGCAGGGGAUCGCAAGACCUUGCGCUGAUUGAGCGGCCGAUGUCAGAUUAGCUAGUUGGUGAGGUAAAGGGGUACCAAGGCGAAGAUCUGUAGCGGGUCUGAGAGGAUGAUCAGUGACACGGGAGCUGGGACCCGGUGCAGACUCCUACGGGUGGAGGCAGGGGGGAAUUGUGGACAAUGGGGGCAAACCUGAUCCAGCCAUGCCGCGUGAGUGAAGAAGGCCUUCGGGUUGUAAAGCUCUUUCGGCCGGGAAGAAAUCGCACGGGCUAAUACCCUGUGUGGAUGACGGUACCGGAAUAAGAAGCACCGGCUAACUACGUGCCAGCCGCCGCGGUAAAAC